AACGAACGUUGGCGGCGUGGAUUAGGCAUGCAAGUCGAACGAAUCCCACUCGCUAUAGCAAUAUAGUGGGUGGGGGAAGUGGCGAAAGGGGCAGUAAUGCGUGGGUAACCUACCCUAGGGACGAGGAUAGCCCUCCUAACGGAGGGAUAAUACUCGGCGUUAUCACCGGGAGGCAUCUUCUGAUGAUGAAAUGAAUUUCGCCCCGGGAGGGGCUCACGUCCUAUUAGCUAGUUGGUGUGGUCAUGGCUCACCAAGGCGAAGAUGGGUAGCGGGUGUGAGAGCACGACCCGCGCCACUGGCACUGAGACACUGGCCAGACACCUACGGGUGGCUGCAGUCGAGGAUCUUCGGCAAUGGGCGCAAGCCUGACCGAGCGACGCCGCGUGUGCGAUGAAGGCCUUCGGGUUGUAAAGCACUGUCGAGGGGGAGGAAGGCCGAAAGGUUGACCGUAUCCCUGGAGGAAGCACGGCUAAGUCGUGCCAGCAGCCGCGGUAAGACGAACCG
rnacentral:rRNA from 1 species